rnacentral:tRNA from 1 species
GGGAUUGUGGCUCAGCGGUAGAGUGCUCACCUAGCACGAGCGGGACCCGGGUUCUAUUCACAGCAUCACA